CAGAAAUGCAUUGAAAAGAGGAUUCUUGAACAUCAGCUAUUAUCGGUCGAUGAACACUGCAAGAUCAGCUUUGAGGUUUAUAUUUAAUUAAUAUAUUGAGAAGAUUUAGUAAGAUAAAAGCCUACCAGAUGAACAAAACACUCCUCAUUGAAACAUGCAUCUUCACAGCUCCUCUGACAACGCAGGUGGCAGCGGGGUGGGGAGAGCUUCUGUGGAAGCACCAUGUUGGUUUAAAAAGAGAAAAGAAAGCAGGUGGAGUGCCAAAAAUAAACCAAGAAUGGAACCUGAGACCACAGCUGUCUGGCGGCUCCUGCUGCAACAAGGCUGGAGAGCCCCCACGGCAUUCCCACAGGAGCUGAGGAAGGGGUGACAGGAACUAUUCCAUAGUGAACAGUUAAAAUGAUGGCAUUCAACAGAACUGCCACAACAGAGCCUGCUGUUGCUGCUAAUUUGCUGAAGUAGAUCUGCUGUCUUUACUUCCUCCGCUGCUCCUGCUGCACCUCGAGGCAUGCUGAGGGCUCAUCCAUCAUGUGCUGGCUCAUAACAAGGCAAGGAGAGGGAGCUCAAUUGUAGUGUACAAGAAACUGAAGUGUAGGUCCAAAAGGUCACAGGAAACCAGCAACUGUUUAGAAUGGGCGAGCUGGGAAAAAGAUCCUGCAAAGGAAAACAUAGCAUGAGAACAGUUCUCAGGCUCAUCCAGAGCGUCCAUGGGGGCUGCUGCUAGCGGCAGUGCACUCGGAGCUGCGUGCAGGAAAGGCAUCCGGAGCAUGCCAGGGACAAAGCCCCGGAAGGCCCCAUCGUGCUUGAUAAGCUUUUAAUGCAGAACAAUUUGAAAUCGCCUUUAAUGCUCCAAUGGAGAACCGAUAUACGCAAGAUUUUUCCCUUCUGUCAUGUGGCAUUAGGGCAAAAGACUGGAUAAUAACAGCGAUACGUUAGUCCUGCCAGAGACCUGCACUGACACAUGCAACGUGGGCACAUGGGCAUAUUGUCAGCACCUCCACGAGCACUGCCAUGACCUAACUUUCAAGCAGCUGCACUCACGUCACACAGCACAUGGCUUUAAGCAGGCCCC
rnacentral:lncRNA from 1 species